rnacentral:rRNA from 1 species
UACGAAGGGAGCUAGCGUUACUCGGAAUCAUUGGGCGUACAGCGUGCGUAGGCGGCUUUGUAAGUUAGGAGUGAAAGCCUGGGGCUCAACCCCAGAAUUGCUUUUAAUACUGCAAAGCUAGAGUGUCAGAGGGGAUAGCGGAAUUCCUAGUGUAGAAGUGAAAUUCGUAGAUAUUAGGAGGAACACCGGUGGCGAAGGCGGCUAUCUGGCUGAAUACUGACGCUGUUGCACGAAAGCGUGGGGAGCAAACAGG